UAGUGUAACAUCGAUUAGUGUAACAUUGACCAGUGCAACAUAAGGCAAACAUAAUGAUUUGACCAGUAUAACUAUGACCAUCGUCACCUACACAGCAAACCAAUAAUUUUGAAAUGACCACAGGACAUAGACCAGCUUAGCACUACCACGUACUAGUGUCAUGUCCUCUUGACUUCAAAAGUCCUUCAGUUUAAGUGUUGUGCUAACUAAUGUCACAUGUUGACAUAAAUGUCAGUGACAACAUCGUGAAAAGAAAAAAAAACUCCAUGAAAUGUCAAGUGUGAAGCGAUUAUAAGUUUAUAGAUCUAUUUAAAACUUAUUAUAAAUCAUUGUAUAUACAAUUGUUUGACAUUGAUAUGAAUUGGGUUGUUAAAUAUUUAGGUAACUAAUAAAUAUGAUAACACGUGAAG